rnacentral:rRNA from 1 species
GACGAACGCUGGCGGCGUGCUUAACACAUGCAAGUCGAACGAUGAAGCCGGAGCUUGCUCCGGUGGAUUAGUGGCGAACGGGUGAGUAACACGUGAGCAAUCUGCCCUUGACGCUGGGAGAAUGGCGGGAAACUGUAGCUAAUACCGGGUACGACACCUUGGGGCAUCGCAGGGUGUGGAAAGAAUUUGGGUGAAGGCUGAGCUCGGGGACUAUCAGCUAGCUGGGGAGGUAAUGGCAUACUAAGGAGACGACGGGUAGCCGGCCUGAGAGGGUGACCGGCCACAAUGGAACUGAGACACGCACCAGACUCCUACGGGGGGCAGCAGGGGGAAACAUUGCACAAUGGGCGAAAGCCUGAUGCAGCAACGCCGCGUGAGGGAUGAAGGCCUUCGGGUUGUAAACCUCUUUUAGCAGGGAAGAAGCGAAAGUGACGGUACCUGCAGAAAAAGCACCGGCUAACUACGUGCCAGCAGCCGCCGUAA